rnacentral:rRNA from 1 species
UCUACUACUACUACGUGUUCACCUACCAGGUAGACUUCUACCGCGUCGUCCACUGUUGAAGUGAAAGGUCCAAGAGUAAAGACACAAAGAGUAUCUCGACCUGUUCACCUAGAAUCCGAUAAGAGAUAAAACCAGUUAAUAUCAUCAUCAACACAUUGUCACAGAUUAAAAGUAGGUACAGGAUUACAAAUAGUACCUUGAGAAAGACGAUACAUUAGAGGUUAAGACAAAAUGGAUGUCCAAACCGACUAAAUGUGAACUAAGGAUUUUUUUCCACAUGAAGAAACUCACCCCACUUAAGCAUAUAUAAAAAAUCGACAUGUUCAUCCUAUUCUGGGGUGACGAUAAAAAUACUUUUCGUUCGGUUGUGAUAAAAAAACACUUCACAUGUACUCCUUACAUCCACUUUAGUAUAAACUACGUAUAAGGGAAACAAGACUGAAGACAAACUAUGUAUCAAAUAAAAUCUUUUAUAUAUCCUAUAUAGGUUAUCCCGUUCAAAUACCAAUGUAAAGAGAAAUGCUACGAAUAUACUUCUUACAUCUAUUUUUAUAUAAAGUGUACGGUAAAGUCAAAGAUUUUAAAGUGAGUUUGAAUUGUUAAACGUAUAUAAACGAAAAAGAAGACAAAUAUAAGGUGUUACUAUUCCAAAAGAAUAAAGUUUUAAUCAUAAUUCUUUUGACACAAGAAGGAUCUCGUGGCCGUCGUUGGUGUAGUACUUUCCCAGCUCCCUUCUAAUAGACUAUACACAGUGACUUUCGCUUCCAUUUUAAGGUUAUGUUGUGGAAGUAUAAUGGACGGUUAAGUGUUCACGUACAAGACAUAGUUUUAAUUGACGAGGGAGAAGCAAUGUAACCAUAUACAAGACUUACCCAACUACUUAUAGAACCAUAUACAUCAAAGUUUCGAAGUAAUGUAACAUCGUCCCUUUUAACCAUACUUCUAACACGUCGUGGUACGGAAUCGGUCGGGGAAUUAAACCGAUCUUGUCUCCCGAUUAGAAGAAUGAGUAAACGGCGGAUUAAAUAUACCAAGACGAUACUUGGUAAGGAUGAAACCGUUAUUUAACGUAGUGAAAUACGGUAUCUUCUUGGUAUAUUUAGUCAUAGGCCGUUGCCACUGCGCCCCCGUCCGUGCUCCUCCCCACCACUCGGUGGCCGCCGACCCAAGGGGGGUUAGCGGGUCCAACCCGCUGUGGAUUAAAUAUACCAUGUAUAACUUGUCUCCCGGGUUUAUACAUGUUCACCUAUACUAGCAAUCUAAUAAGCUAGACCUGUAACAUCAUCGAUGGUUAUCAUGUCAAAUGAAGAAAUAGGAGGAUAACGGUGAUUGAUUUAGAGAGACGAAAGAAGGAAAACGAGUACCGGGAUACUUUCCAACUUACAGUUCUGCUAGUUCUUCUAGUCCACCUAGAUAGGUUUUUAUACGAAGGCACCUUGAUGUAUCCAAUAAACAGAGCGUAACGAGGACACGGAACUAAAACGACAUACUCUUCAUGUAACAUAGUUUGAACUACACCUAACAAGUAGACCAGAGCGAAAACCUUUUCAUAUAUAAAUGUAAGG